rnacentral:tRNA from 14 species
CUGGUUUGGUCAGCAGGCCCUUCAAACCCGGGGCCGAGGAGGCCGCCAUGCGGGUU